rnacentral:lncRNA from 1 species
AUCCGUCAAAAUCUCUUUACAAUUUUAAUCUUAUCCGUCUAUCUCUUAAUCUUUUAUUCCUUUCAUUACUCCCACAUCUAAAACACACAAAAAUAUCUUAUCUUCUGAUACUUAUAAAAAGACCUUAAUGCCUCCACUCUUAGAUAUCUUUCUUCAUACCAUAACUCUUAUAGAGGACCCAUAUGAUAGACAGAUAUAUCCACAUUUUAAAUCCUUUUAGCCA